CAGCACUUUUCUCAGAGACUCCAUGAAGUGCAUCGUGCUGCACCCAGAGCAGGGCUUCUUAACCUUGAUUGUGACCUGGCCCCUUCCCUGAGUCUGGGGAAGCCCCUGGAGGCCUCCGUAAAAGAACAGCAAAGAAAUUUUGAUGGCACCCCACACAAGUUAAAUAAUAUCAAGACCAACAAAAGAAACCAACUCACAGAUGAACAAUGAAGUCACUAAGCAGAAAGACAGCUGUCUGACCAUGCCUGUUCUCUCCUGGAUUAUUGGUCCUAAUCUUCAUCCUCAUCGAAGGCACUGGACCGGGCAUCCAGAUGGCCCAAGUUGGAAAGCUGCCUCAGACCCUCGGGAGCUGUGGAUUGGGAGAUGAAGCCAGGCUGCCUCUUGUGAUCACCCCUCCCAGACUGAUUUCUGACUCUGGACUUUACCACCAUGGAUCAACUGCCUUCUCACCUUAGAAGUUCCCUCCAUCUCUGAAGCCCCCUUCUCUCAUCUACAAAUGACGAUAUCCUAGAAUCAGAGAUUUCGAACUGGAAGUGACUGCAGAGGCCACUGAAUGCAACACUUUCGUUUUACAGAUGAGGAAACUGAGACAUACAGAAAGAAGUUAAGCAACUUAUCCUGGGUCACAAAGCUAGGAAGUAUCUAAGGUGGGAUAUGAAGAGAAAAUAAAAGUAUGGACACAUGGAUUGUGUGGACUUGU
rnacentral:lncRNA from 1 species